CACGUAGGGACCAAGCGUUGUCCGGAUUCAUUGGGCGUAAAGGGCGCGUAGGCGGCCUGUUAAGUCGAACGUGAAAUCCCUGGGCUCAACCCAGGAACUGCGUCCGAUACUGGCAGGCUCGAAUCCGGGAGAGGGAUGUGGAAUUCCAGGUGUAGCGGUGAAAUGCGUAGAUAUCUGGAGGAACACCGGUGGCGAAGGCGGCAUCCUGGACCGGUAUUGACGCUGAGGCGCGAAAGCCAGGGGAGCAAACGGG
rnacentral:rRNA from 1 species